GAUGAACGCUGGCGGCGUGCCUAAUACAUGCAAGUCGAGCGAACGGACGAGAAGCUUGCUUCUCUGAUGUUAGCGGCGGACGGGUGAGUAACACGUGGAUAACCUACCUAUAAGACUGGGAUAACUUCGGGAAACCGGAGCUAAUACCGGAUAAUAUUUUGAACCGCAUGGUUCAAAAGUGAAAGACGGUCUUGCUGUCACUUAUAGAUGGAUCCGCGCUGCAUUAGCUAGUUGGUAAGGUAACGGCUUACCAAGGCAACGAUGCAUAGCCGACCUGAGAGGGUGAUCGGCCACACUGGAACUGAGACACGGUCCAGACUCCUACGGGAGGCAGCAGUAGGGAAUCUUCCGCAAUGGGCGCAAGCCUGACGGAGCCACGCCGCGUGAGUGAUGAAGGUCUUCGGAUCGUAAAACUCUGUUAUUAGGGAAGAACAUAUGUGUAAGUAACUGUGCACAUCUUGACGGUACCUAAUCAGAAAGCCACGGCUAACUACGUG
rnacentral:rRNA from 1 species